rnacentral:rRNA from 1 species
CUUUUAUGAGUUUGUAUUUGGCUCAGGACGAACGCUGGCGGCGUGCUUAACACAUGCAAGUCGAACGAUGAUGCCCAGCUUGCUGGGCGGAUUAGUGGCGAACGGGUGAGUAAUACGUGAGUAACCUGCCCUUGACUCUGGGAUAAGCCUGGGAAACUGGGUCUAAUACUGGAUACUACCUCUUGCCGCAUGGUGGGUGGUGGAAAGGGUUUUACUGGUUUUGGAUGGGCUCACGGCCUAUCAGCUUGUUGGUGGGGUAAUGGCUCACCAAGGCGACGACGGGUAGCCGGCCUGAGAGGGUGACCGGCCACACUGGGACUGAGACACGGCCCAGACUCCUACGGGAGGCAGCAGUGGGGAAUAUUGCACAAUGGGCGGAAGCCUGAUGCAGCGACGCCGCGUGAGGGAUGACGGCCUUCGGGUUGUAAACCUCUUUCAGUAGGGAAGAAGCGAGAGUGACGGUCCCUCAU